AACAUAUGAAAGGACAUUUUAUCAUAUUAAAAUAGUUUACCAAUAAUCUUUUGUCCAUCAGUUAAUCGACAGACAUUUGGUUCAACGUUCUGCCGCCUCUGGAAAACAUCAGCAGGACACUGGUCUGUUUUACUGGAUGUAUUCAAAGCACAAGAGCAGAUUUGCAGACAGAUACAAUUCAGAUAAAAUACAAACAGAACAAACGUUUUCAUUCAUCGUCACAAAGAUCAUGUUUAAAGUCCCCGAACACAAGCUCACCUGCCAACGUUUCUUCAUAUAAAAGGCACAAAAAGUCUGAAUUGUUACUUUAUCAUGAUCGGAGAAACUGAUCGGUUCUGGUUCUGUCGAGAUCAACGCUCAAAUCAGAGACAGAUUUACCACUUUUAGACGGUCUAAUCAGUGAUCCUAAGAGUUGUCCGUAGGUCUACUCUAGAACUUUCUCCACUUGUCGGUAGGUCUACUCUAGAACUUUCUACAGUUGUCGGUAGGUCUAUUCUAGAACUUUCUCCAGGGGAUGUUCUCCUUUCCUGCUUCCAGUCUUUAAGGUUAGUCUCACUUAGAACAUUCAGCUCUGAAGACUUACAGAAAUGUACACAGAAAUUGUUCAAAAAUAGUAUUUAAAUAAAACUAAACUUAUGAGAAAUCACACAAAUUUGUUUAAAACAUUUUCAGAUCUGUCCAAAAUAAGUCCAAAUGUGUUCAUAACGACAAGAAAAUGUUUAAAAUUCCUCAAAGAUUGUCCAAAAUGACUUGAAUAUCAUCCUAAAUGGUGGUAAUGUUUCCCAGAACUCAGAUGUGUUUCUAAGUGAGACUAAACGUCCCCUGGAGGAAGUUCUAGAGUAGACCUACUGACAACUGGAGAAAGUUCUAGAGUAGACCUACUGACAACUGGAAAGAUCACUUAUUAAUAUCUUGGACCACCUCUAUGGACUGCAAGGACCUGGAACUCUGGAUAUAGCCCCACUCUGAAGGAAGAACUCUGAUCAUUAAUAAAUUCACUGGAGAUACAGAACCAGGCACUGGCUGAUUAUCCCUGAAUUUUCCCCAUAUUUGAGGCUGUUUGGAUCCAGACGUCUGACUUGUUGGUGUUUCCACUCAAAGCUGUAAAUGAAGCUUCAGAUCUUUGAACCCGACAUGAAUCUACUUCCUCCUCUUCAGGAAAGUCGCAGCUUCUCUCCGCAGCCGUUUGACGUCCUCCCUGCCGUCGUCGUCUGAGUCUGGAGGGACGUAGUCUGAGUCGUCACUGACGUCCUCGCUGUCGUCGUUGAUGAAGCUGUCGUCGUACUCUUCGCCUUCGUCCUCUUCGUCGUCGUCAAGAGUGUUUUUGGCGACGCAACGUUUAGCUCGAACUGCAGAGACGAUCACAGAAGCAGUAGAAUUAUUUCAUCCUCACGCCGUUUGAGUGAAAGCUCUUCAAUGAAAGCUUCAGUAGAACCAGACCCAAACCACAGUAGAACCAACCUAAAAACCAGAGUAGAACCAGACCAAAACCAGAGUAGAACCAGACCAAAACC
ensembl:lncRNA